rnacentral:tRNA from 1 species
CGCGGGCGUGGUCGAACUCGGCGCGGCCGACGUGCCCGAGAUGCUCGACCUGGUCGCGCGCACGCGGCCGGGGCCGUUCCGGCCGCGCACCCGCGA